AGUGACUAACUCGUUGUAAUCAUGACUAACUGAUUUUUUGCUUGGGGUUCUUGCUUUUAUAGCUAUCCAGAAGAAUAGACAUAUCGUUGAAAACAAUAGUUUUCGCAGGUGGUCUGUGAUAUCUCUAUUCUAGCUUUUGUUGAAGUAGAAGAGGUUA